UACGUGAGGGGCUAGCGUUGUCCGGAUUUAUUGGGCGUAAAGAGCGUGUAGGCGGCCAGGUAGGUCUGCUGUGAAAACUCGAGGCUCAACCUCGAGACGUCGGCGGAAACCAUCUGGCUAGAGUCCGGAAGAGGAGAGUGGAAUUCCUGGUGUAGCGGUGAAAUGCGCAGAUAUCAGGAAGAACACCAAGUGGCGAAGGCGGUGCUCUGGGGC
rnacentral:rRNA from 1 species